rnacentral:rRNA from 1 species
CCACGCCCCACAGAAAGCCAUGUGGAUGUGCAGCAGCGCAAGGCAGAGAUCCUUUGCGGCUGAGAGGAAGCGGCAUCGUGUGCAAGAGGUCAGGCCGAAGGCUGGCACACAUUCCCCUCUCCCUUUCUGCUUUCCUCCUCCUCUGCAGUGAAAAGGAAACCAGAGAACGAUGCCCUCCUAGAACACACUCCAAGGAUCCCCACCGAGAUGUAUAUAGCCUCGUGGUACCAAUCCAUUGGUUGCGACAGGAAUUCCGCCGGCGGAUAAUCAGUUAGCAUCGUCCCUGUCCUGCUCUGCUCUGCUGGUCUAGCUAGCUAGCCCGGUCCAUGCAAAUGCCGUUCUGCCCCAAGCUGUGGGAUCGGAGCCCGGUCCCGCCGGCCAACGCCAUCGCCGUCAAUGGCACGGUGGUCGUCGCCAACACCUUCGGCCUCUCCGCGCCCGGCAAGUCCACCACCCUGCGCCUCUUCAGCGGCACCCAAAUCGACCACGGUGAGUGCACUGUAUGUGAGUUGUUCGUGUGUUUGACUGUGACUGAUGCCGAGCGCGUGCAGAGACGGGGAAGGGGAUGCUGAGCCCGGAGGCCCCGCUGAGGGGCGGCAAGAAGAGCAAGCACGGGAAGACGAGCACGACGACGUACCAUGUGACGUUCGUGGUGGACGCCGACUUCGGCACGCCGGGGGCCGUGUCCGUCCGGAACGGGAACCGCGCCGACCGCUUCUUCCUCCGCCACGUGCGGCUGGAGCUCGCCGAGGACCGGAGCAUCCACUUCGAGUGCAACUCCUGGGUGUACCCAUACAAGAAGACCGCCUCCGACCGCCUCUUCUUCGUCAACACGGUCAGAGCAGAGGCCAUUCGUUUGUGUUUGUUCCAUAUCCAGUCCUGGCAUCCUGGGUGAACUCGUGCAUGAAGCUUUCUUUCUUUCUUUCUUUCUUUCGUGGUGACCAUUGCCAGAGCUACCUGCCUUCCAAGACGCCGGAGGCGCUGGUGCUGCUGCGGGACGAGGAGCUGAGGAGCCUGCGAGGGGACGGCAAGGGAGAGCGCAAGGACUGGGAGCGCAUCUACGACUACGACCGCUACAACGACCUCGGCAACCCCGACAACCCGGAGCACGUCCGCCCGGUCGUCGGCGGCACCAGGACGCACCCCUACCCGCGCCGCUGCCGGACAGGCCGUGCCAUCAGCAACACCGACGGCGUGACGGAGACGCGCAAGCACGUGAUCAACCUGGACUUCUACAUCCCGCCGGACGAGCGGUUCAGCCCGGGGAAGCUGGCGGAGGUGCUGAAGCUGGGGGUGCAGGCGGUGACGCACUUCGUGAUCCCGGAGGCGAGGACGCUGGUCCACGGCAACGACUUCAAGUCCAUGGAGCAGCUGAGGAAGGACCUGUACAGCAGGCCCGUGCAGCCGGCGGUGGACGGCGAGGUCAUGGAGAAGCUCAAGUCCUCCGUGCCGUCCCACAAGACCUACAAGCAGGUGGCCAAGGCCGUCAAGGAGGAGCACCCCGCCAGGUUCCCCAUCCCGCAAGUCAUCCAGCAGGAUCCUGAGGCGUGGAGGAGCGACGAGGAGUUCGCAAGGGAAAUGCUCGCCGGGCUCAACCCUGUCGCCAUCAAGAGAUUACAAACGUUUCCGCCGGUGAGCAGUGGCGGGAAGAAGAGCUCGAUAACCGCCGAGCACAUCAAGAGCCAGCUUGGAGAUGUCACCAUUGAAAUGGCAAUGCAUCAGAAGAGGCUGUACAUCCUGGACCACCAUGACUACCUGAUGCCGUACCUGAGGCGCAUAAACACGCUGGGCGUGUGCAUCUACGCGUCGCGCACGCUGCUGUUCCUCAAGGCCGACGGGACCCUCAAGCCGGUCGUCAUCGAGCUGAGCCUGCCCAGCGACGGCGAGGGCGACACCGAGCUGAGCCGGGUCUUCCUCCCCGCGACCCACGGCACCGAGGGCCACCUGUGGCAGCUCGCCAAGGCCCACGUCUCCGUCAACGACUCGGGGUACCAUCAGCUCAUCAGCCACUGGCUGUUCACGCACGCGGCGGUGGAGCCGUUCAUCAUCGCGACCAGGAGGCAGCUGAGCGCCAUGCACCCCAUCCACAAGCUCCUGGAGCCGCACUUCAAGGACACCAUGCAGAUCAACACGCUGGCCAGGAGCAUACUGCUCAACGCCGGCGGCAUCCUGGAGCGGACCAUGUACCCGGGGAAGUACGCCGUCGAGAUGUCCUCCGCCAUCUACGGCGACUGGAGGUUCACCGAGCAGUCCCUGCCAAACGACCUCCUCAAGCGGGGGGUGGCCUCCAGCUCCGAUGAGCCCGGCGGCCUGACCCUGCACAUCGAGGACUACCCGUACGCCGUCGACGGGCUCGAGGUGUGGCACGCCAUCGACGGGUGGGUGCGCAGCUACUGCGCCCACUUCUACCACAGCGACAAGGAGGUGGACGGCGACGCGGAGCUGCAGGCGUGGUGGCACGACGUGCGCACCGUCGGCCACGGCGACCGGCAGGGCGACCAGGCGUGCUGGCUGGCGCUGGACACCGUCGACCACCUCGCCCAGACGCUGUCGACGCUCGUCUGGAUCGCCUCCGCGCUGCACGCGGCCGUCAACUUCGGGCAGUACGCCUACGCGGGGUUCCCCCCGAACCGGCCCACGCGGUGCCGCCGGUUCGUGCCGCUGCCGGGGUCGCCGGAGAUGACGCAGCUGGAGGCCGACCCGGAGAAGUUCUUCCUGGAGAUGGUGCCCGACAGGUUCACCGCCACGCUGGGGCUGGCGCUCAUCGAGGUGCUGUCCAACCACACCUCCGACGAGGUCUACCUCGGGCAGCGCGCCACGUCCACGUGGACGGACGACGGCCAGUUGCUGCGCCUGCUGGACGGGUUCCGGGAGGACCUCCGGCGGGUGGAGAGGCGGGUGGAGGAGAGGAACAAGGACCCGCGGCUCAAGAACCGGAGGGGGCCGGUCAAGGUGCCGUACACGCUCUUGUUCCCGGACGUGGCCGGCCAGGAGAAGGGGCUCACGGGGAAAGGGAUACCCAACAGCGUCUCCAUAUGAUCGAUCCACGUCUAUAUGACUAUGUAAAUUUAUCUUCAUUUGGGUUUUGGGUGUUCUUUUAUAGUUGGGGGUGAUGCGGAUUUCUUUGUUGGUUUGAGUUUUAGUGUUUGUUGUGUAAAAUGGUGAUCGGCUUGAGAUUCAAAAAAUUGAAAUGGAGCUUGCUGUUUGGAAACAGACCUCACAAGGGUCAUUUCCCUUGUCAAAGAUAAAACUGUUGGACCC